UACGGAGGAUCCGAGCGUUAUCCGGAUUUAUUGGGUUUAAAGGGUGCGUAGGCGGUUUGAUAAGUUAGAGGUGAAAUGUCGGGGCUCAACCCCGAAACUGCCUCUAAUACUGUUGGACUAGAGAAUAGUUGCGGUAGGCGGAAUGUAUGGUGUAGCGGUGAAAUGCAUAGAUAUUACACAGAACACCGAUUGCGAAGGCAGCUUGCUAGGCCGGAUCUGACACUGAUGCACGAAAGCGUGGGGAUCGAACAGG
rnacentral:rRNA from 1 species